GCCCGCCUAGCUCAAUCGGAUAGAGCGUCAGACUCUUACAGUCAAGGCUUGGGUAUCUGAAGGCUGUGAGUUCGACCCUCACGGUGGGCU